GAUGAACGCUGGCGGCGUGCCUAAUACAUGCAAGUCGAGCGAACGGACGAGAAGCUUGCUUCUCUGAUGUUAGCGGCGGACGGGUGAGUAACACGUGGAUAACCUACCUAUAAGACUGGGAUAACUUCGGGAAACCGUAGCUAAUACCGGAUAAUAUUUUGAACCGCAUGGUUCAAAAGUGAAAGACGGUCUUGCUGUCACUUCUAGAUGGAUCCGCGCUGCAUUAGCUAGUUGGUAAGGUAACGGCUUACCAAGGCAACGAUGCAUAGCCGACCUGAGAGGGUGAUCGGCCACACUGGAACUGAGACACGGUCCAGACUCCUACGGGAGGCAGCAGUAGGGAAUCUUCCGCAAUGGGCGAAAGCCUGACGGAGCAACGCCGCGUGAGUGAUGAAGGUCUUCGGAUCGUAAAACUCUGUUAUUAGGGAAGAACAUAUGUGUAAGUAACUGUGCACAUCUUGACGGUACCUAAUCAGAAAGCCACGGCUAACUACGUGCCAGCAGCCGCGGUAAUACGUAGGUGGCAAGCGUUAUCCGGAAUUAUUGGGCGUAAAGCGCGCGUAGGCGGUUUUUUAAGUCUGAUGUGAAAGCCCACGGCUCAACCGUGGAGGGUCAUUGGAAACUGGAAAACUUGAGUGCAGAAGAGGAAAGUGGAAUUCCAUGUGUAGCGGUGAAAUGCGCAGAGAUAUGGAGGAACACCAGUGGCGAAGGCGACUUUCUGGUCUGUAACUGACGCUGAUGUGCGAAAGCGUGGGGAUCAAACAGGAUUAGAUACCCUGGUAGUCCACGCCGUAAACGAUGAGUGCUAAGUGUUAGGGGGUUUCCGCCCCUUAGUGCUGCAGCUAACGCAUUAAGCACUCCGCCUGGGGAGUACGACCGCAAGGUUGAAACUCAAAGGAAUUGACGGGGACCCGCACAAGCGGUGGAGCAUGUGGUUUAAUUCGAAGCAACGCGAAGAACCUUACCAAAUCUUGACAUCCUUUGACAACUCUAGAGAUAGAGCCUUCCCCUUCGGGGGACAAAGUGACAGGUGGUGCAUGGUUGUCGUCAGCUCGUGUCGUGAGAUGUUGGGUUAAGUCCCGCAACGAGCGCAACCCUUAAGCUUAGUUGCCAUCAUUAAGUUGGGCACUCUAAGUUGACUGCCGGUGACAAACCGGAGGAAGGUGGGGAUGACGUCAAAUCAUCAUGCCCCUUAUGAUUUGGGCUACACACGUGCUACAAUGGACAAUACAAAGGGCAGCGAAACCGCGAGGUCAAGCAAAUCCCAUAAAGUUGUUCUCAGUUCGGAUUGUAGUCUGCAACUCGACUACAUGAAGCUGGAAUCGCUAGUAAUCGUAGAUCAGCAUGCUACGGUGAAUACGUUCCCGGGUCU
rnacentral:rRNA from 1 species